rnacentral:rRNA from 1 species
UACGGGGGGGGGCAAGCGUUGUUCGGAAUUACUGGGCGUAAAGGGCUCGUAGGCGGCCAACUAAGUCAGACGUGAAAUCCCUCGGCUUAACCGGGGAACUGCAUCUGAUACUGGAUGGCUUGAGUUUGGGAGAGGGACGCGGAAUUCCAGGUGUAGCGGUGAAAUGCGUAGAUAUCAGGAGGAACACCCAUAGCGAAGGCAGCUUGCUGGGACGUAACUGACGCUAAGGCGCGAAAGCGUGGGGAGCGAACAGG